rnacentral:rRNA from 1 species
UACGUAGGGUGCGAGCGUUGUCCGGAAUUAUUGGGCGUAAAGGGCUCGUAGGCGGUUUGUCGCGUCGGGAGUGAAAACCCAGGGCUUAACUCUGGGCUUGCUUUCGAUACGGGCAGACUAGAGGCAUGCAGGGGAGAACGGAAUUCCUGGUGUAGCGGUGAAAUGCGCAGAUAUCAGGAGGAACACCGGUGGCGAAGGCGGUUCUCUGG